GGGUAGGUGGCAGAGCGGUCAAUUGCACCUGACUGUAAAUCAGGCGCCUUCGGGCUACGGCGGUUCGAAUCCGUCCCUACCCACCA
rnacentral:tRNA from 5 species